AAACCUGUAUUAAGUACCCUUUUAUUGAGAAAACCAUGUAUGUGAUUUGAGAGAGAAUGAUGGAGAAUUUCUCUUAAAUGUAAUUCUUUUAAAUGAGAAUAUAAAUGUCUUUUUGGAGGCUGAGCAUGAACAAGGUGGAAACUGCUUUUCUGUUCCAAGACUGGCACCAACAGGUACUCAAUAAAUAAGAACCUCAAUAAAUAAACCUCAAAAUAUAAAAACCCUUGAGGGGCUUAAAUAAGUUCGUAAAAGUCCCCAAAUAUCCUGGAGCUGUUAGGUCCUUCAGUUUGUUUGUUUGUUUCUUCUUGUGUUACUGACUGAGGAAAAGCCUUCCGUCACUGUAAAUGUUGUAUGGUUUAUCAUCACUAAAAACGACUUUCUAGAAUAGGGUAGGUUGCUUAUGUUUGGUAUUUUGAUGAGCAGGUAUGUUGGUCAUGAUCUUUCUAGACCUUAGCUCUAAUUUUUUCCACUUCUUCAAGAGGUGUCCUCAUCCUUGUCUCCUAACAUAUCUGGUAAUUUCAGUUACUUUUCUCUGCAUCUUCUCUGUAACAUGUCUGCCCAGGAAAACUCAGAGCUGAGAGAGGGAAGCUAAGUUAUAUUUAGAGCAGAAUAGGAACUAUGUGAGGGAGACUAAGAGGCAUUCCUUUAGAAGAGUGUAAUCACUGAAAACUCUCUCGCGCAUAAUCUCUCUCAUACACCCAUGAACAAUAUCCCCCUUCUCAGUCACACCCACCCUCACAGACAAACACACACACAGAACCGAGUGGUGAUCUGGUGAAGUCUGUGCAGCGUUGCAUUGUCCUCACCCAGUGCCUGGUGGAGCAGAACUUCCCAGCCAUUGCCAUCCGCCGAGGGAUGCCCCAGGAGGAGAGGCUUUCUCAGUAUCACCAGUUUAAAUAUUUUCAACGAUGAAUUCCUGUGCCUACCAACCUAUUCAGCCGAGGCAAGGACAUGGAGCAGGUGAACAUUGCCUUUAACUGUGACAUGCCUGAGCAUUCUGACACCCACCUGCAUCGGUUGGACGGACGCCGUAAAGGACUUACCCACCCAUUCUGGAAUGUGACAGCUGUCUCUCUUCAGGAGAUGACACCGGGGUAGGAGCAAAGGAGACACUACUGCCACCUACCACUGACAACCCCCAACCCCCACCUCACGGCUUCCCUCUUUUGCGUCACCACCAGUCCUAAACCUCCAUUUCCUGAUUUGUCAGAACUUUUUUUCAACAAAACUAAAAAACACAUGCACCUGUGAUGUCUGUAAACGCUCCGUCUCUUUAUUGGAUUUGGGGUGAGGUUGUUUUAGGGUAAGAUCCAGGGUAUAUUCCUGUAAGGACUGUGUGCCCUGCCUGCUGUGGUGCAGAGGUCAGUGGGCGGGGUCAAAGUGGGGGAUGUGACUAAACAGAUUGCAGAGACCAUGGCUCCCCACUACCUUCCAAAUUCUGGCCCUUCGUGGAGGUGUGUUCCGUUUUUCUUAGUGGCUGGAAGAGGCUGGGAUGUUUCCGAUUGAGGAGCUCAUGGGGCUGGUGCGUAAUAUUUCCAUCGUUGGAGG